CUUGCUUUGAGGGAAGAUAUACUAAACUUGGGAUGAAAUGGAGAAAAUUUGCAUGGCCCCUGAGGGUGGACACCAUGUGAAUUCACACAGUGUUUCAUUUUUAA
rnacentral:snRNA from 1 species